rnacentral:rRNA from 1 species
ACGGAGGGUGCGAGCGUUGUCCGGAAUCACUGGGCGUAAAGGGCGCGUAGGCGGCUCGGUAAGUAGGGGGUGAAAUCCUGCGGCUUAACCGCAGGGCUGCCUUCUAAACUGUCGAGCUUGAGCACGGUAGAGGCAGAUGGAAUUCCGGGCGUAGCGGUGGAAUGCGUAGAGAUCCGGAAGAACACCAGUGGCGAAGGCGGUCUGCUGGGCGGUGGGACCGAAAGGUCUCUUGAACCGACACUGAGGCGCGACAGCGUGGGGAGCAAACAGGA